ensembl:antisense Lyzl4os lysozyme-like 4, opposite strand
GGAGAAGGAAUCCAUCAUCACCACUGAGACCACAUUAGUUUUCCGCCACUGCGACAGACGUGUGAGAAGUCUGACGUGGGCCUCAGGGUGCCGGCAGGGCCAGGCUCCUUCUGGAGACAGUAAAGAUGGCCCACUUCUUGUUCAUACAGCAGUGUUGGCUGAAGGUUACCCUAACUGCUGAGGGCUGCCCACCCUCCUCACUCUGUUCCCCUUCCUGGUCAUCAAAGACAUCAAGGGCCCUGAGCAUAUUAGACAAGCCCACAAGACCCAUCUUUGUGGGUUUAUGGGAUACUAGCCAGGCUGCUGGACAGACCUGCCAUCCCACACACCUGGCACAAGAGGACAGAGAGUCCAAGAGGCAGUAUGCAGAUGUCCAGCUGCUUACAUGAGGAGCUCUGGGAAGAGCUGAGAGUAGCCCAGGUCCACCUCUGGACCUGGAGGGCCCAGGCCUGGCCAGACUCUUCCCAGUGCCUCUGGCUGUGCUUUCCCUGACAUCUACAAUAAAACCUCCCCCUUAACCAU